rnacentral:sRNA from 1 species
UGAUAUUACCUUUGAUGAGCCUAAACC